rnacentral:snRNA from 1 species
AGCUUUGCGCAGUGGCAAUAUCUUAGCCAAUGAUGUUUAUCUGAGGCGCAAUUAUUGCUAACUGAAAGCCAAAAGGUGGAAGCAACUUGAACAUCUAUUAGUGGAUAAAGAAAAGGGGGUGUAUAUACAC